CCUACGAGCGGCAGCAGUAGGGAAUUUUCGGCAAUGGGGGGAACCCUGACCGAGCAACGCCGCGUGAACGAAGAAGUUAUUCGUAAUGUAAAGUUCUUUUAACAGGGAAGAAAGAGAAAUUUGACGGUACCUGAAGCAUAAGCUACGGCUAACUACGUGCCAGCAGCAGCGGUAAUACGUAGGGAGCGAGAGUUAUACGGAAUGAUUGGGGGUAAAGGGUGCGUAGAUGGCAUAGAAAGUCUUUUGUAAAAAUGCUGGGCUCAACCCAGUAGGGCAAAAGAUACUGCAAAGCUAGAGGAUGACAGAGGCAAGUUGAACUAAUUGUGUAGCGGUAAAAUGCGUAAAUAUAUGUAAGAACACCAGUGUCGAAGGCGGCUUGCUGGGUCGAUACUGACAUUGAGGCACGAAAGCGUGGGGAGCAAACAGGAUUAGAUACCCUAGUAGUC
rnacentral:rRNA from 1 species